rnacentral:rRNA from 1 species
GACGAACGCUGGCGGCGUGCCUAACACAUGCAAGUCGAGCGGAGCUAAUAGUAAUAUUAGCUUAGCGGCGGACGGGUGAGUAACGCGUGGGCAACCUGCCUUACAGAGGGGGAUAACAGUGCGAAAGCACUGCUAAUACCGCAUGAAAUUGCGACAUCGCAUGGUGUUGCAAUCAAAGGAGAAAUCCGCUGUAAGAUGGGCCCGCGUCUGAUUAGCUAGUUGGUGAGGUAAAAGCUCACCAAGGCGACGAUCAGUAGCCGAUCUGAGAGGAUGAACGGCCACACUGGAACUGAGACACGGUCCAGACUCCUACGGGAGGCAG